GAUACUGACACUCAGAUGCGAAAGCGUGGGGAGCAAACAGGGAUUAGAUAUCCUGGUAGUCACGCCGUAAACGAUGUCUACUUGGGAGGGUUGUGGCCUUGAGCCGUGGCUUUCGGGAGCUAACGCGUUAAGUAGACCGCCUGGGGAGUACGGUCGCAAGAUUAAAACUCAAAUGAAUUGACGGGGGCCCGCACAAGCGGUGGAGCAUGUGGUUUAAUUCGAUGCAACGCGAAGAACCUUACCUACUCUUGACAUCUACAGAAUCUAGCGGAGACGCUGGAGUGCCUUCGGGAACUGUAAGACAGGUGCUGCAUGGCUGUCGUCAGCUCGUGUUGUGAAAUGUUGGGUUAAGUCCCGCAACGAGCGCAACCCUUAUCCUUGUUUGCCAGCGAGUAAUGUCGGGAACUCCAGGGAGACUGCCGGUGAUAAACCGGAGGAAGGUGGGGACGACGUCAAGUCAUCAUGGCCCUUACGAGUAGGGCUACACACGUGCUACAAUGGCGCAUACAGAGGGCAGCCAACUUGCGAGAGUGAGCGAAUCCCAAAAAGUGCGUCGUAGUCCGGAUUGGAGUCUGCAACUCGACUCCAUGAAGUCGGAAUCGCUAGUAAUCGUGAAUCAGAAUGUCACGGUGAAUACGUUCCCGGGCCUUGUACACACCGCCCGUCACACCAUGGGAGUGGGCUGCAAAAGAAGCAGGU
rnacentral:rRNA from 1 species